rnacentral:rRNA from 1 species
UACGUAGGGACCAAGCGUUGUUCGGAUUUACUGGGCGUAAAGGGCGCGUAGGCGGCGCGGUAAGUCACUUGUGAAAUCUCUGAGCUUAACUCAGAACGGCCAAGUGAUACUGCAGUGCUAGAGUGUGGAAGGGGCAAUCGGAAUUCUUGGUGUAGCGGUGAAAUGCGUAGAUAUCGAGAGGAACACCUGCGGCGAAGGCGGGUUGCUGGGCUGACACUGACGCUGAGGCGCGAAAGCUAGGGGAGCGAACGGG